rnacentral:snRNA from 1 species
GAAAAGUUACCACAGGGAUA